rnacentral:rRNA from 1 species
GAUGAACGCUAGCUACAGGCUUAACACAUGCAAGUCGAGGGGCAGCAUGAACUUAGCUUGCUAAGUUUGAUGGCGACCGGCGCACGGGUGAGUAACACGUAUCCAACCUGCCGAUGACUCGGGGAUAGCCUUUCGAAAGAAAGAUUAAUACCUGAUAGUAUGGUGAGAUUGCAUGAUAACACCAUUAAAGAUUUAUUGGUAAACGAUGGGGAUGCGUUCCAUUAGGUAGUAGGCGGGGUAACGGCCCACCUAGCCUGCGAUGGAUAGGGGUUCUGAGAGGAAGGUCCCCCACAUUGGAACUGAGACACGGUCCAAACUCCUACGGGAGGCAGCAGUGAGGAAUAUUGGUCAAUGGGCGAGAGCCUGAACCAGCCAAGUAGCGUGAAGGAUGAAGGUCCUACGGAUUGUAAACUUCUUUAUACGGGAAUAAAGUUUCCUACGUGUAGGAUUUUGUAUGUACCGUAUGAAUAAGCAUCGGCUAACUCCGUGCCAGCAGCCGC